rnacentral:rRNA from 1 species
ACGGGAGGCAGCAGUGGGGAAUUUUGGACAAUGGGGGCAACCCUGAUCCAGCGACGCCGCGUGGAGGACGAAGGUCUUCGGAUUGUAAACUCCUUUUGGAUGGGAAGAAAAAAAUGACGGUACCAUCAGAAAAAGCCACGGCUAACUUCGUGCCAGCAGCCGCGGUAAUACGAAGGUGGCGAGCGUUACUCGGAAUUACUAGGCGUAAAGCGUAUGUAGGUGGUUAUAUAAGUCUAUGGUGAAAUUUCCUGGCUCAACUGGGAAGGGUACAUAGAUACUGUAUGGCUUGAGUUUUAGAGGGGGAGACGGAAUUCCUGGUGUAGCGGUGAAAUGCGUAGAUAUCAGGAAGAACACCGAUGGCGAAAGCAGUCUCCUGGCUAAAUACUGACACUGAGGUACGAAAGCUAGGGUAGCAAACAGGAUUAGAUACCCUGGUA